rnacentral:lncRNA from 1 species
UGGAGUCAGGACAUAGUCCCCACCUCACAGUGUUUUCAAACUGAGGUCACAAUCCUGAAAACAUUUGGGUGAAUAUUAUAUUUUCAUGUGUGCAAGAGGUUCCCACUUAAACAUCAGCUGGGGAAAAUUUACAGAAAGACCACACCUGCUGAGCUUCAGCCUGCUGGCAGGCACUGUAUAGAGGCCUAAUGGGAAUUAGGCAGGGAAGAAAGGUUGCCUGGAUUUUAAAAGGGUGUGAACCUUCCAAGCUCUCAGGAGAGAAAAUGGUGGAGGAAUUCAGCUGAUCAUCACAAGCAGAAGAGAACUGCAACCACUAGCAUCUUAGCGGUUACAGCAGCUUUGGGCUCACCACCCUUCUCAGUUUGGUAUGGCUUGAUGGCUCCAUGGUGUCUUCCACAUCUUCCAUGUCUCAAAACAGCACUUGACUAGCUGAGCUGAGCUUGAGCUUGAAACUUGCAACAUAUUCUAAGGCCAGGGAGGACAGAGAGUACUUCUGCGUUCCUUCAAGUUCAGGUUCCUCAGACAAGGGCUCAAGUGGGCCUCAAGUGAGCAGGCGCCUUCCAUCUUCUGCUUGGCCCAAAUGCACUCCAGUAAUUAGGUAGCUCACAACGGUUUUCUGAGUUGGAGUGGACCUACACAAGGAGCAAAUCCUUUAAUUCAGGUCUCUGGAUUCUAUCACAUAGGAAAGCACUUAGACAAAUGAAAGCAUUAGAUCAAGGGAAUGGGGUCAGACCAAGGACCCUCUUAGCCCCAGACACAGUCUCCAAAUGUGAAUAUUGAGCACAUUAAAUAUUUGAAGAGCAGAGACAGUUUCCUGCAGCUCACGAAGGUGAACAAAAGAACACAGAAGAAAUAAGCACUGGUAUUCAACUCAAAUGCUAUUCUGUACCCCUCAAAGAAUUAUACUUUUUGAGGACUCAAGGCAAAGAGCCAACUGCCUGGAGGCAACUCCUCAUGAGUUUAUGACAUAAUAUACAGUAAAGAAAUACAGUCAACUCUUCACAUUUAAAGAAAUAUGACAAAUGUUAACUUCUGUUGGAACUAUAUCUUCAAGAUUCAUAAAACCCCAUCAACUACAGCGCCAUCCGUAGAAAAGUGAUGUGAUCUCUUUUCAGAGUGCCCAGCACUGGUCUUGUUACACAGUUUGUUCCAUUUUUUGAGAAAACUCACUGGGAUCACCUGUCUCAAUUCUCCUAUAUCCAUGGAGUGAGGUGUUUUUAUGACUAAAAUAAGUUGAUUCACAUCUUCCACUGGAAGGAAAACCAUGCUCUCUGCCCCUCUUCUGCUGCUGAUAAAAGUCAAUCUAGGUUAAAACAAACAAUGAAACACAAGUGGCUUGUAUCAAACACUGUAGUGACUUUUGCCGGUAUACUCUCCUGAAUUCUGGCUCAGAAGCCAGCUGAGUUAGAGGCAGUGAAUUUGAUUUAGA